GAGUUUCUUCUUUUUCUUCUUCAUCGAUCUAGGAUGGGUUCCAGGCCGACAGCCUCGGAUAGCAAGGAUGGACGUCGUUCUUUUAUCGUUUUUUUUCGUCCGUAGUCGGACCCUGCUCUUCUACAUGGUGAUGGAAUAUGUUGAUGUAUUGAUGUGAUAUUGUUGUAGCUUGUGGAGAGUGUAAGCCAAUUUCAUAUACUCAUCUCUUCA
rnacentral:lncRNA from 1 species